AUUGAACGCUGGCGGCAUGCCUUACACAUGCAAGUCGAACGGUAACAGGUCUUCGGAUGCUGACGAGUGGCGAACGGGUGAGUAAUACAUCGGAACGUGCCUAGUAGUGGGGGAUAACUACUCGAAAGAGUGGCUAAUACCGCAUGAGAUCUACGGGUGAAAGCAGGGGAUCGCAAGAACUUGUGCUACUAGAGCGGCCGAUGGCAGAUAGGUAGUUGGUGGGAUAAAAGCUUACCAAGCCGACGAUCUGUAGCUGGUCUGAGAGGACGAUCAGCCACACUGGGACUGAGACACGGCCCAGACUCCUACGGGAGGCAGCAGUGGGGAAUUUUGGACAAUGGGCGAAAGCCUGAUCCAGCAAUGCCGCGUGCAGGAUGAAGGCCUUCGGGUUGUAAACUGCUUUUGUACGGAACGAAAAGCCCCGGGUUAAUACCCUGGGGUCAUGACGGUACCGUAAGAAUAAGCACCGGCUAACUACGUGCCAGCCGCCGCUGUA
rnacentral:rRNA from 1 species